rnacentral:rRNA from 1 species
GCAAGUCGAGCGAAGCACUUUGCUUAGAUUCUUCGGAUGAAGAGGAUUGUGACUGAGCGGCGGACGGGUGAGUAACGCGUGGGUAACCUGCCUCAUACAGGGGGAUAACAGUUAGAAAUGACUGCUAAUACCGCAUAAGACCACAGCACCGCAUGGUGCGGGGGUAAAAACUCCGGUGGUAUGAGAUGGACCCGCGUCUGAUUAGCUGGUUGGUGGGGUAACGGCCUACCAAGGCGACGAUCAAUAGCCGACCUGAGAGGGUGACC